rnacentral:rRNA from 1 species
GACGAACGCUGGCGGCGUGCCUAAUACAUGCAAGUAGAACGCACAGUUUAUACCGUAGCUUGCUACACCAUACACUGUGAGUUGCGAACGGGUGAGUAACGCGUAGGUAACCUGCCUGGUAGCGGGGGAUAACUAUUGGAAACGAUAGCUAAUACCGCAUAAUAUUGAUUAUUGCAUGAUAAUUUAUUGAAAGAUGCUAUUGCAUCACUACCAGAUGGACCUGCGUUGUAUUAGCUAGUAGGUGAGGUAACGGCUCACCUAGGCGACGAUACAUAGCCGACCUGAGAGGGUGAUCGGCCGGACUGGGACUGAGACACGGCCCAGACUCCUACGGGAGGCAGCAGUAGGGAAUCUUCGGCAAUGGACGAAAGUCUGACCGAGCAACGCCGCGCGAGUGAAGAAGGUUUUCGGAUCGUAAAGCUCUGUUGUAAGGGAAGAACGGGUGUGAGAGUGGAAAGUUCACACUGUGACGGUAUCUUACCAGAAAGGGACGGCUAACUACGUG